CCUACGGGUGGCAGCAGUGGGGAAUAUUGCACAAUGGGGGGAACCCUGAUGCAGCGACGCCGCGUGGGUGAAGGAGUACUUCGGUACGUAAAGCCCUAUCAGCAGGAAAGAAAAUGACGGUACCUGACUAAGAAGCCCCGGCUAACUACGUGCCAGCAGCCGCGGUAAUACGUAGGGGGCAAGCAUUAUCCGGAUUUACUGGGUGUAAAGGGAGCGUAGACGGCAGUGCAAGUCCGGAGUGAAAGCCCGGGGCUCAACCCUGGGACUGCUCUGGAAACUGUAAAGCUGGAGUGCGGGAGGGGCAGGCGGAAUUCCUGGUGUAGCGGUGAAAUGCGUAGAUAUCAGGAGGAACACCGGCGGCGAAGGCGGGUUCCUGGACAUUAACUGACGCUGAGGCACGAAGGCCAGGGGAGCGAAAGGGAUUAGAUACCCGAGUAGUC
rnacentral:rRNA from 1 species